AGCGAACGCUGGCGGCAGGCUUAACACAUGCAAGUCGAGCGGGCAUCCUUGUGGUGUCAGCGGCAGACGGGUGAGUAACGCGUGGGAACGUGCCCUUCGGUUCGGAAUAACUCAGGGAAACUUGAGCUAAUACCGGAUACGUGCGAGAGCAGAAAGGUUUAUCUGCCGAAGGAUCGGCCCGCGUCUGAUUAACUAGUUGGUGAGGUUAUGGCUCACCAAGGCGACGAUCAGUAGCUGGUCUGAGAGGAUGAUCAGCCACACUGGGACUGAGACACUGCCCAGACUCCUACGGGAGGCAGCAGUGGGGAAUAUUGGACAAUGGGGGCAACCCUGAUCCAGCCAUGCCGCGUGAGUGAUGACGGCCUUAGGGUUGUAAAGCUCUUUUCUUCGGGACGAUAAUGACGGUACCGGAGGAAUAAGCCCCGGCUAACUUCGUG
rnacentral:rRNA from 1 species